rnacentral:rRNA from 1 species
GACGAACGCUGGCGGCGUGCUUAACACAUGCAAGUCGAACGGAAAGGCCCUGCUUUUGUGGGGUGCUCGAGUGGCGAACGGGUGAGUAACAAGUGAGUAACCUGCCCUUGACUUUGGGAUAACUUCAGGAAACUGGGGCUAAUACCGGAUAGGAGCUCCUGCUGCAUGGUGGGGGUUGGAAAGUUUCGGCGGUUGGGGAUGGACUCGCGGCUUAUCAGCUUGUUGGUGGGGUAGUGGCUUACCAAGGCUUUGACGGGUAGCCGGCCUGAGAGGGUGACCGGCCACAUUGGGACUGAGAUACGGCCCAGACUCCUACGGGAGGCAGCAGUGGGGAAUAUUGAACAAUGGGCGGAAGCCUGAUGCAGCAACGCCGCGGGCGGGAUGACGGCCUUCGGGUUGUAAACCGCUUUCGCCUGUGACGAAGCGUGAGUGACGGUAAUGGGUAAAGAAGCACCGGCUAACUACGUG